AUUGAACGCUGGCGGCAUGCCUUACACAUGCAAGUCGAACGGCAGCACGGGGCAACCUGGUGGCGAGUGGCGGACGGGUGAGUAAUGCAUCGGAACGUACCUUUCAGUGGGGGAUAACGUAGCGAAAGUUACGCUAAUACCGCAUAUUCUGUGAGCAGGAAAGCAGGGGAUCGCAAGACCUAGCGCUGAUUGAGCGGCCGAUGUCAGAUUAGCUAGUUGGAGAGGGAAAGGCUCACCAAGGCGACGAUCUGUAGCGGGUCUGAGAGGAUGAUCCGCCACACUGGAACUGAGACACGGUCCAGACUCCUACGGGAGGCAGCAGUGGGGAAUUUUGGACGAUGGGGGCAACCCUGAUCCAGCCAUGCCGCGUGAGUGAAGAAGGCCUUCGGGUUGUAAAGCUCUUUCGGCCGGGAAGAAAUCGCACGGGCUAAUACCCUGUGUGGAUGACGGUACCGGAAUAAGAAGCACCGGCUAACUACGUGCCAGCAGCCGCAGUAAAAC
rnacentral:rRNA from 1 species